UCGAUGGUGGUCCGAGCACUGCCGCCUCCAUCCUCGCACCAUCUUCGUCACACGCAGCCGCCUCCUUCCGCACCCCUCUUCUUCGCGCACGGCAACAGAGGCAGGUCCUGUCAGGGAAUAAUAUUAUUCAGUUAGCAUCUUUUUCGUGGAAGAGGAGUGAGAAUUUAAAGGUGCAUGCUACAUAGAAGCUUAGAUCUGUAAUCAAGCUGUGGAAGAGAAUA